rfam:Oryza glumipatula chromosome 2, whole genome shotgun sequence.
AAUAAGUAUAGUUUUACACUAUUUAUGUCCAACAUUUUACCGUUCGUCUUAUUUAAAAUUUUGUUAUUAUUAUUAUUAUUUUUUAUUUUAUUAGAUGAUAAAACAUGAAUAAUACUUUAUGUGUGACUAAUUUUUAAAAAAUCAUAAAAUUUUCAAAUAAGAAGGACAGUCAAACGUUAGACAUGGAUUCCCACGACUGCACUUAUU